rnacentral:rRNA from 1 species
AUUGAACGCUGGCGGCAGGCCUAACACAUGCAAGUCGAGCGGAUGAAGGGAGCUUGCUCCUGGAUUCAGCGGCGGACGGGUGAGUAAUGCCUAGGAAUCUGCCUGGUAGUGGGGGAUAACGUCCGGAAACGGGCGCUAAUACCGCAUACGUCCUGAGGGAGAAAGAGGGGGAUCUUCGGACCUCACGCUAUCAGAUGAGCCUAGGUCGGAUUAGCUAGUUGGUGGGGUAAAGGCCUACCAAGGCGACGAUCCGUAACUGGUCUGAGAGGAUGAUCAGUCACACUGGAACUGAGACACGGUCCAGCCUCCUACGGGAGGCAGCAGUGGGGAAUAUUGGACAAUGGGCGAAAGCCUGCUCCAGCCAUGCCGCGUGUGUGAAGAAGGUCUUCGGAUUGUAAAGCACUUUAAGUUGGGAGGAAGGGCAGUAAGUUAAUACCUUGCUGUUUUGACGUUACCAACAGAAUAAGCACCGGCUAACUUCGUG